CUACGGGAUGCAGCAGUGGGGAAUAUUGCACAAUGGACGAAAGUCAGAUGCAGCAACGCCGCGUGGAGGAUGACACAUUUCGGUGCGUAAACUCCUUUUAUAUAGGAAGAAGAUGACGGUACUAUAUGAAUAAGCGCCGGCUAACUCCGUGCCAGCAGCCGCGGUAAUACGGAGGGCGCAAGCGUUACUCGGAAUCACUGGGCGUAAAGAGCGUGUAGGCGGAUUAAAAAGUCAGAAGUGAAAUCCUAUAGCUUAACUAUAGAACUGCUUCUGAAACUCUUAAUCUAGAAUAUGGGAGAGGUAGAUGGAAUUUCUGGUGUAGGGGUAAAAUCCGUAGAGAUCAGAAGGAAUACCGAUUGCGAAGGCGAUCUACUAGAACAUUAUUGACGCUGAGACGCGAAAGCGCGGGGAGCAAACAGGAUUAGAUACCCCCGUAGUC
rnacentral:rRNA from 1 species